UGGCCUAUGGGGGGCAGCAGUGGGGAAUUUUGGACAAUGGGCGCAAGCCUGAUCCAGCUAUUCCGCGUGUGGGAUGAAGGCCCUCGGGUUGUAAACCACUUUUGUAGAGAACGAAAAGACACCUUCGAAUAAAGGGUGUUGCUGACGGUACUCUAAGAAUAAGCACCGGCUAACUACGUGCCAGCAGCCGCGGUAAUACGUAUGGGGCAAGCGUUAUCCGGAUUUACUGGGUGUAAAGGGAGCGUAGGCGGCCUGGCAAGCCUGAUGUGAAAUACCGGGGCCCAACCCCGGGGCUGCAUUGGGAA
rnacentral:rRNA from 1 species